rnacentral:tRNA from 2 species
GCACCUGUAGCUCAGAUUGGUCAGAGCACGAGUUUGAAAAACUCGGGGUCGCUGGUUCGAGACCAGCUGGGUGCACCA